rnacentral:rRNA from 1 species
UACAGAGGUCUCAAGCGUUGUUCGGAUUCAUUGGGCGUAAAGGGUGCGUAGGUGGCGGGGUAAGUCUGGUGUGAAAUCUCGGGGCUCAACCCCGAAACUGCACUGGAUACUGCCUUGCUCGAGUACUGGAGAGGAGAUUGGAAUUUACGGUGUAGCAGUGAAAUGCGUAGAUAUCGUAAGGAAGACCAGUGGCGAAGGCGAGUCCCUGGACAACACCUGACACUAAAGCGCGACAGCAUGGGGAGCAAACGGG